AAGAGAAAGAAGAGAAAGGACAGAAGAAAAAAGAAAGAAAGAAAAAAGGAAGGAAAGGAAGGAAGGAAGGAAAAUGGAAGGGAAGGAAGGAAAGAAGGAAGGAAGGGAGAAAGGGAAAGGAACAAAUGAGACCCCUGGUCCUUAAUUUCUUUAUUCUAGUGACUAGGGAAUAGUGAUGAAAAGAUGCAGGAAUCAGACAUCCAUUGACUGCCCUGGGUGCAGGACAUGGAGGGACCACCUUGGAUGUGUAGAUUCAAAGCUAGAUGACAGGGACCCCCCCACACAUUCCAUUGCCAUGGCAACCACCAUACAUUCCCAGAAUCCAUUUGGCUCACCUCCCACCUUUACCUGUGUGGGGUUAUGUCACAACUCUCUCUCUCUCUCUCUCUCUCUCUCUCUCUCUCUCUCUCUCUCUCUCUCUUUCUCUUUUCGUCUUUGUUGCCACCUUUGCCUCCUUCCCCCACAGUAAACCCCACAUGGAACUGUAUUGGCCUGGUGUGGUCUGCCAGGAUGUCAGCCUCAAAUCUAACACAAUAGUAAUAGCUUUGGGUUAUUUUUUUUUCUGCCCAUGACCAGGGGUUAUAGAGGUGAAUGACUCCAAAGUCCAUCCGCAACAAGCUGACAGUCCAUGGGACUCUACGCCAACUGUGAUGGCAGAAGACAAGACAGGGGAAGGUCACACAAUAGGUGUGGCAGAGGGUAUAGAUCUGGAGGACCUUGUUUUAGGUACAAGAAGAAGGACCACCCCUUCUCUACACUCUGCAUCUGUGUUCAGAUCAUCACAAGGAUGGACUUGCCUGGAGCAAUGGAGCCCUCUCAGUACCCGCCUGUAUGGGAUUGUUUGCAGCUGCCUGAAGAGACCCAAGAGCCUACUCCAGAAACGUGAAUGGUGUUAUAUGUUAUACCAGGAGCACACUUGUUUACCUUUGCAGCAGUCUGUCUUCCAAGCAAGUCAUUUUGGGGAAGGUGGUGUCUGGAUUGCUAAUCCUCUAGGUAUGCGUUUCAUCUCCUAA
rnacentral:lncRNA from 1 species